rnacentral:rRNA from 1 species
GAUAUGGCUCAGAUUGAACGCUGGCGGCGUGCUUAACACAUGCAAGUCGAACGCGAAAGGGACUUCGGUCCUGAGUAAAGUGGCGCACGGGUGAGUAACGCGUGGAUAAUCUGCCCUUAUGAUCGGGAUAACAGUUGGAAACGGCUGCUAAUACCGGAUACGCUCAAAAUGAACUUUUUGAGGAAAGAUGGCCUCUGCUUGCAUGCUAUCACGUAAGGAUGAGUCCGCGUCCCAUUAGCUUGUUGGCGGGGUAACGGCCCACCAAGGCAACGAUGGGUAGCCGAUUUGAGAGGAUGAUCGGCCACACUGGAACUGAAACACGGUCCAGACUCCUACGGGAGGCAGCAGUGGGGAAUAUUGCGCAAUGGGCGAAAGCCUGACGCAGCGACGCCGCCGUGGGGGAUGAAGGUUUUCGGAUCGUAAACCUCUGUCAGAAGGGAAGAAACUACGUUGUGCUAAUCAGCAGCGUACUGACGGUACCUUCAAAGGAAGCACCGGCUAACUCCGUGCCAGCCGCCGC